UGGUCAGUAUAUCUGGUCCUUCUCUGCCUUAUCUCAAGCCACUCUCCUCCCGUUACCUCUCUAUAUUAGCUUCUCUACUCUGGAAAACUUUCUCCUGCCCCCAGGCCUUCAGAAACACCCUUUUCUGUUAGAUAGAUAGGCAUUUUCUCGACGGGCACGGUGGCUCAAGACUGUAAUCCAAGCACUUUGGAAGGCCGAGAUUGUGCCACUACACUCCAGCCUGGGUGACAGAGUGAAAGAAACUCCGUCUCAAAAAAAAAAAAAGAAAGAAAGAAAGGCAUUUUCUUCUGCUCACCAUCUCUCUGCCUUAUUCAUUAGGG
rnacentral:lncRNA from 10 species